CCCUUAGAUGUUCUGGGCCGCACGCGCGCUACACUGAUUCAUGCAACGAGCUUAUAACCUUGGCCGAGAGGCCUGGGCAAUCUUGUUAACGUGCAUCGUGAUAGGGAUAGAUUAUUGAAAUUAUUAAUCUUGAACGAGGAAUUCCUAGUAAACGCAGAUCAUCAAUCUGCAUUGAUUACGUCCCUGCCCUUUGUACACACCGCCCGUCGCACCUACCGAUUGGAUGGUCCGGUGAAGCCUCGGGAUUGUGGUUCUUGCCGCUUUAUUGUGGCGUGACCGCGAGAACUUGUCUAAACCUUAUCAUCUAGAGGAAGGUGAAGUCGUAACA
rnacentral:rRNA from 1 species